rnacentral:tRNA from 1 species
CAUAGCUCAGCUGGAUAGAGUACUCGGCUACGAACCGAGCGGUCGCAGGUUCGAAUCCU